rnacentral:tRNA from 1 species
AGUCAUGUAGUUUCUAUGAAUAACCUAUUGUAGCUAGGGUGGUACUAUGACUA